rnacentral:misc_RNA from 1 species
GAUGAAGAACGUAGCGAAAUGCGAUAAGUAAUGUGAAUUGCAGAAUUCAGUGAAUCAUCGAAUCUUUGAACGCACCUUGCACCCUUUGGCAUUCUGAAGGGUAUGCUCGUUUGAGUGUCAUUGUACUCUCACACUCCCGAUCUUUGCAUUGGGAGCAGUGGACUUGGGUUUGCUGCUUCACCGUCGCUUACCUCAAAUAGGUUAGUGCAACUCUUGGUUGGACAUAGUACGGCGUGAUAAGUGUUCUUCGCCGGUGCCUCGCAAAGAGGGUGGCCGAUCGGGAUGUUCUGCUCCAAACCGUCUUCGGACAAUCUCUGACGACUUGACCUCAAAUCGAGUAAGACUACCCGCUGAACUUAAGCAUAUCAAUAAGCGGAGGA